GCAAACUUACUAACACAUGUCUCUAAUCAACGGCUAAUUUCUCGGUGUAGGCAAUGAGUUGUGAGUUGCGGGUGAGAAAAAAAAGGAAACUGCCGAAACUAUAGGCAUCGUAUAAGAGCGGAAUGGCGGCGAACGGAUUGGUGAGCCGAGCAUUCCAGUCGGUGCUCAAGGAAUGUGCUGGCAAAAAUUAUCCCACAGGAUAUUCAAACUUAUUUAGGAUUCUAUGGUUCCAGCGGAAGCCUUAGUCCCCCUUAACAAAGGGGAGCUUCUCAGUAGCAUACAUCAGGUUGGUAUGGUGGAGAAAACUGAAUUUACUAAGGACGGGACAUUGGUCAAGGCGUUUGUCCCUCUUUGUUUUGCAAGGCUGCUUACUCCAAUGCGGCAGCUCUGUAAAUCAUAAUUUCGCUUUAGAUUCCACAGCUCAAACAGGACAUGCAAAUGGGGAUGACUGGCAAGAAGAGGUCUAUCAGAAGGUAAAAACUGUCUUGACAUAUUCUCCUGUAGAUAAUAAUACACUUACAACUUGGUUUCAAGAAGGUCUUGAGGUGUAGAGAAAUGGUUUUCUGAAAGAAUAUUAGAGUAUAUUGGGAUGCUCAUCUUACUAGAACUAUAAAACAAAAGAAUUACGAACUGAAAAGACAUUCAGACAUUUCUUGAAUGACUUAUUAGUUUUAAAAGAAAGAAAAUAAAGCUUAUUUAUUCCUUCAGUGCUCUACUAAAUAUCUAUUAUAAUUGGUGAGGAGGAAAACUGUCAAAUAGACCAACGAUAUCUUGCAUGCUUGACUUCAAAGUAAUCAUCAUUUGUUGAUACAUUUAUUUCUUCUCUUAUGCAAAAAAACAUUAUCUCACAUUUAUCAGACUUUUGCCUCUGGAAUCAUUGUACCCAAGUCUUACAUAAGGCCUGUAGAUGGAAAUCUUUACUUGCUACCUUCUUCCUCUGUUGUCUUGGAUGCUCACAAAGAAGGGGUAGAAGUUUUUGCAGUGGAAUUUUAUUAUGAUAUUUCAUUUAGCUUCAAUUACUCCUACGAUCCAUUGGUUGAGUAUCUUCAGUUUGUUGACAAUGGCAACUUCUCUGUUGAUGGGGUGAUGUCCGACUUCUCAAUAACUCCAUUAGCAGCUAUACGUAAGUUAUAUACCAGCUUGUAUAUGCAGUGUUAGUCCUCAUCUAUUUCUUCAAUUUGUUUUUGCAUCACAUACAAUGAUAUUUACUUUUUAAUUUAAAUUAUGGUCAACUUCAAAUUAUUUUAAAGGAGCCUUACUUGUCUGAGUGACCUGUGCUGCCAUCUUGGGAUGUCUUACAAAUUUUUGUAGUUUUCACAAAUUAGGAAGUAUAUACCGCUUUAUGACUAAAAGGGUCUACCUAAGAAUCUUGCACUUUGUUGGCUUUUUUCUCCAUGGUUGCCUCAUGCUAUAGUUGCAUCAUAUGAAUAAGAGGGUGAAGCAAGACUACGUCUGCCUUGACUAUCCCCUUUAUGACUAAAAGGUUGUCUUAUUUUUACUAGAUGGUAGAUACCAUUAUCUUUUGCUGCUAAUGGAUGAGAAACAUUUUUGUUGAGACACAAAAUAUUGUUUCAUAUUGCAGAUUGCUUUGCUCACCUAGGCAAAAUUGCUUCAAAACAAGGUAUGUCAUUAUACAAUGCUUCUGACUGUCCUGUUCAAAUGACAAAGAAUGGAACACCUGUUUGCUUGGGCUCUAUAAAUCUGAUAGAUAGCACAAUAGUUGCUGAAUCAAUUUUUAUCUAUCUUACAACCACAAUUCCAGAGAUUAUGCAAUGUGGUGGAAUAUUUACCUUCGACCUGUCAUUGAGUGAUAUUAAAAACUUGACACGGAAGUUGAAUUUAGUUCUCAUUUGAUUGUUCUUUAUUGUACUGAACUUUUGUUUUGUUUUGUUUUUUCUUUUGGGAUAGGUGGGAUGUCAUCUAUAAUCUUUAAUAGUUUUAGAAACAUAACCCGUUGAAAAUAAUAGUAGUCUAACUCAGUAAAGAUUGAAGUUUGUCUAUUACGUUGAGUGGGUAUUUAUGAUGCUUUGUGGAUGCUCCUCCUGUUUUUUUCUGUGCUUGAAGAUUGUUACCCAUAACCAUUGUGAUGGAGCAUGACUAAAUAAAAACCCUGCUUUGGGAGAUAAUGUUUCCUUGCAGACAGUACUGUGCAUGUGAUUUCAGCUAAUAUUUUGAUGAAGAUGGUAAGUAGACAUUGGCUUAAUUGAUUAUGACUUAUUUCUUAGAGAUUCAAUUUUCCCUUCGGCCUUCUAUUUUGCAUUUGGUUAUCUUAAGCUAAAUGCAUUGAAAUGGCUUAUCUUUGUACUUUCAGAUUUUUUAUUGGUUGCAACUUGUAUUGGUUCAGAACAGAACGAUCUAUUUUUUGUUGGACAGCCCUUAUUGUUCUUUCCCCUCUAGAUUUGUAGGACCUCUUGGGGACAGAAUAUGUUUUGGCAUACAGAUUAAAUUGGUUAUCUCAAUGGCUUUUUAUGGAAAUAUUUCUGACUUUGCAUAUUUGUAUCCACUAUCAAAAUGGUCUCAGCUAUCACAGUACACAACUGACAUGCCUAACAACUCUAUUGGAGUGUGUAUAGAAGGGCAAAUUCGUGACAAUGGCAGGGUAAAUGAUAGUUUCAAACAAUUGACUGGUUCAUAGAUAUCUGACUUGGAGUCAACUGCAACAUUUAGUGUCCAGAGGCCAAGAAUUGAGGUAUAAUUCUUAGCUCAUGGUACAUUUUUCUAAAAUGUCAGCUGUAUUUUUUUGGAAGCCACUUCCAUCAUUUGGUGAUAUAUGGCUGAAUUACUAUGUACUUCCUCUGUGCCAAAUUGAAUGUCCAUCUUUACAUUUUGGGAUAAUUUAUAGUUACGUUCUAUUUUCUUUUAAACACCGACCGUGGCCAUGUAUCAAUGUUAUUGAUAUCUGAUUGAAAGUAAAAUAAAUUCCAUUCUUUUUCCGAGUAGCAUAGAAUUAAUUUAGUGAGUUGUUUCAGAAAUGAUCCCUGAUCUUUAUACCAGAGUUGUUUCCAUCUCUGACUAUGAGUUAAUGACCAAGAUCACGACCAUGAUCACUUAGAUAAUCACAAGACUUUUGCCCCCUUUUCAGGGCCCAUUGACUAACUUCUUCUCAAAGCUUGGAUUGGCCUAAGAAUGAACCCAGCAGGGCUGGCUGCUGUAUCUAUUGGGGGAUGAUCUCCUUCCUUGAUCCACAAAAUUUUUUAUUUUCCGUACUUUUUUUUUUUAAUUUUAAGCUGAGGUUUUAUUAAGAAAAAAAAAGGGGGGGUUGGUAAGAGACGUUAGACUGAAUCUAGCUAGCAAGGUCCAAGUCAAUGGCAGACGUGACUAGACCAGUAUGUCGGUACAACCAAACCAAGCUAAGUCAUUUCUCUCCAGCCAUGUGGUCCAAAGUCGAGCAAAAAAACCCAAGCCAGAAACCACUUCACCAAAUGAUUGGACCAGCUGGCGGCUUCAAUCGAUCAUUGCUCUGCCCCUUACUGCACAUUCAAAGCCUUUCAAACCUCAAUCUUUGGUCUGAAAAACACAUGCCAAAACAAACACACAAUUUUUCAUGUGUAUUGUGUGGCAAACAAAAGAUAUAUUUAAAGGAAUUGGGUUCGGAACUUACUUCUCAUGAAAAGGUAUAUAUAAUAUAUAUGAAAUUUAUUACGGCGGAACAAAUCCAUUGAUAAUUUGUAUAUGUAUGAAAAGAAGAAAAAACGUGUGAAAGAACAAUGCUGCUGGUGACUGAAUAUCAUGCUCUGGAUAAUGGAUGAAAAAAUAAAAAAAAGGACACUUCCAAAAAAAUUCCCCCAACCCCCUAUGUGGAUUUGAUUUCAAAGCUUAGAUUCUAUUUAUAUAGACAAUGAAAUUGAU